rnacentral:misc_RNA from 1 species
GAUGAAGAACGCAGUGAAAUGCGAUAAGUAAUGCGAAUUGCAGAAUUUCCGUGAGUCAUCGAAUCUUUGAACGCACAUUGCGCCCACUGGUAUUCCGGUGGGCAUGCCUGUUCGAGAGUCAUUAUCCUCCCUCAAACCCCGGGUUUGGUGUUGGACCCAAGUUGUGUGAACAACUGGUCUUAAAGACAAUGACGGCGUCCGUGGGACCCUCGGUGCAACGAGCUUUUAGGAGCACGCAUCGAGUUGCAAGGACCUUCCGGGCCGGUCUCCUUUACUAUUUUACAAGGUUGACCUCGGAUCAGGUAGGAAUACCCGCUGAACUUAAGCAUAUCAAUAAGCGGAGGA